rnacentral:rRNA from 1 species
CGACUAGCGGCAGGCCUAAUACAUGCAAGUCGAACGAGAUUGUUGUAGCAAUAUGACAUGAAAGUGGCGCACGGGUGCGUAACACGUAUGCAAUCUACCUCUAAUUGGAGAAUAGCUUCGAGAAAUCGGAAUUAAUACUCCAUAACAUUAUUGAAUGGCAUCAUUCGAUAAUCAAACUUCCGGGGGAUUAGAGAUGAGCAUGCGCAACAUUAGUUAGUUGGUAAGGUAACGGCUUACCAAGACGAUGAUGGGUAGGGGUCCUGAGAGGGAGAUCCCCCACACUGGUACUGAGACACGGACCAGACUCCUACGGGAGGCAGCAGUGAGGAAUAUUGGACAAUGGGCGCAAGCCUGAUCCAGCCAUGCCGCGUGCAGGAAGAAGCAUCUAUGGUGUGUAAACUGCUUUUGUACAGGAAGAAACACUCCCUCGUGAGGGAGCUUGACGGUACUGUAAGAAUAAGGAUCGGCUAACUCCGUG